rnacentral:rRNA from 1 species
UACAGAGGGUGCAAGCGUUAAUCGGAAUUACUGGGCGUAAAGCGUGCGUAGACGGUCAUUUAAGUCGGGUGUGAAAGCCCCGGGCUUAACCUGGGAAUUGCAUUCGAGACUGCAUGGCUAGGAUGCGGAAGAGGGAAGCGGAAUUUCCGGUGUAGCGGUGAAAUGCGUAGAUAUCGGAAGGAACACCAGUGGCGAAAGCGGCUUCCUGGUCCAGAAUCGACGUUCAGGCACGAAAGCGUGGGGAGCAAACAGG